rnacentral:rRNA from 1 species
GGGGAAUAUUGCACAAUGGGGGAAACCCUGAUGCAGCGACGCCGCGUGGAGGAAGAAGGUCUUCGGAUUGUAAACUCCUGUUGUUGAGGAAGAUAAUGACGGUACUCAACAAGGAAGUGACGGCUAACUACGUGCCAGCAGCCGCGGUAAAACGUAGGUCACAAGCGUUGUCCGGAAUUACUGGGUGUAAAGGGAGCGCAGGCGGGAAGACAAGUUGGAAGUGAAAUCUAUGGGCUCAACCCAUAAACUGCUUUCAAAACUGUUUUUCUUGAGUAGUGCAGAGGUAGGCGGAAUUCCCGGUGUAGCGGUGGAAUGCGUAGAUAUCGGGAGGAACACCAGUGGCGAAGGCGGCCUACUGGGCACCAACUGACGCUGAGGCUCGAAAGUGUGGGUAGCAAACAGGAUUAGAUACCCUGGUAGUCCACACCGUAAACGAUGAUUACUAGGUGUUGGAGGAUUGACCCCUUCAGUGCCGCAGUUAACACAAUAAGUAAUCCACCUGGGGAGUACGACCGCAAGGUUGAAACUCAAAGGAAUUGACGGGGGCCUGCACAAGCAGUGGAGUAUGUGGUUUAAUUCGACGCAACGCGAAGAACCUUACCAAGUCUUGACAUCCUGCGACGAUGCUGGAAACAGUAUUUUCCUUCGGGACGCAGAGACAGGUGGUGCAUGGUUGUCGUCAGCUCGUGUCGUGAGAUGUUGGGUUAAGUCCCGCAACGAGCGCAACCCUUACUGUCAGUUACUACGCAAGAGGGCUCUGGCAGGACUGCCGUUGACAAAACGGAGGAAGGUGGGGAUGACGUCAAAUCAUCAUGCCCUUUAUGACUUGGGCUACACACGUACUACAAUGGCGUUAAACAAAGAGAAGCAAGACCGCGAGGUGGAGCAAAACUCAGAAACAACGUCCCAGUUCGGACUGCAGGCUGCAACUCGCCUGCACGAAGUCGGAAUUGCUAGUAAUCGUGGAUCAGCAUGCCACGGUGAAUACGUUCCCG